rnacentral:tRNA from 1 species
AAGGCACUAGUAAAAGGAAUAUUACACUGCCUUGUCAGGGCAGAUUUGUGGGUUAAAGCCCCACGUGCCUUA